GCACGGCGUCCCCCUUCGCGCGGCCUACGCAGCCUCGGGGUAGCGUGUGGCCUCCACCCGGCCGGUCCGCUUCGCUGGCAGCCGCAACUUCCCGUCUGCACCCAGCUAGGUCCCGCGGCUACCCGAGAGGAACGAAGUAUUGGGACAAUGUGAACGUAGUCGCCGCCGAUUCCCACCGCACUUCAAAGAUGUGGGAACGCCAAGAUCCGCGGAAGUAACCACGCCCAGCAAGUCCCUGCGAGAUUGCCCGCCUACGUGUCUCAGCGGAGGCACAUUUCUAAAAUGUACCAGGUCUCUCGCACCCCGACGCAGGUGGAGGAAAGUGGAGAGGGAGGGGCAUCCUGUACAGAAAUCUCAAUUUAUACUCAAUUGAUGGUUGGCAAGAGUUGGGGCUCGCAGCCAAAGCGAGGCUCCCUCCCUCGCCCAUCCGGUGCUGCCUCCUCGUCCAGAGCAAUUCUGAGGGGUAAAAAUGUUGCCUUCCGUUGAACCUGAAUUUGCCCGCAGAUGCUAGCCUCCGGCCCACAGCGCGGCUGGAGCUUGUCCCCUUCCCCAGCUGUUUCCAGUCUCCGCAUCCGUCUUGUGUUGCUCCAGGUGCUUCAACAGCUCUCAGCGCUCGGUGGUUGGUGAACUGUGGUAAAGUGCACGCAGAAUAAGGUCUACGUGAUUAAGCACCGCCUGGGGGUUGGGGUCUGGAGGCCCAGCUGCACAGAUGAAAGGGAGGCUCAGAGACGUUUGGGACCAACCGAGAUCACACAGCUGAUUAGGAAUAAAAUUCAGGUCAAGCUGAAAGUCGGCCGCCACCGUCCAGCGUGGAUCCCAGGACACCGUGAACGGACUACAGAAGUUGACUUUCGCGUUUUUAAGGAGUGGGGUGCAGGGAAACAAUCCUCCGCCGGCCCUGCGGGCUGAUGCCGACCCUCACCUGCUCCCGCC
rnacentral:lncRNA from 1 species